CGACCGCUGGCGGCAUGCCUAACACAUGCACGUCGAACGAGACCUUCGGGUCUAGUGGCGCACGGGUGCGUAACGCGUGGGAACCUGCCCUUAGGUUCGGAAUAACUCCCCGAAAGGGGUGCUAAUACCGGAUAAUGUCUUCGGUCCAAAGAUUUAUCGCCUUUGGAUGGGCCCGCGUUGGAUUAGCUAGUUGGUAGGGUAAAAGCCUACCAAGGCGACGAUCCAUAGAUGGUCUGAGAGGAUGAUCAGCCACACUGGGACUGAGACACGGCCCAGACUCCUACGGGAGGGAGCAGUGGGGAAUAGUGGACAAUGGGCGAAAGCCUGAUGCAGCAAUGCCGCGUGAGUGAUGAAGGCCUUAGGGUUGUAAAGCUCUUUUACCCGGGAUGAUAAUGACAGUACCGGGAGAAUAAGCUCCGGCUAACUCCGUG
rnacentral:rRNA from 1 species